rnacentral:rRNA from 1 species
GAUGAACGCUGGCGGUGUGCCUAAUACAUGCAAGUCGAGCGAACAGACGAGGAGCUUACUCCUCUGACGUUAGCGGCGGACGGGUGAGUAACACGUGGAUAACCUACCUAUAAGACUGGGAUAACUUCGGGAAACCGGGGCUAAUACCGGAUAACAUGUUGAACCGCAUGGUUCAACAGUGAAAGACGGUCUUGCUGUCACUUAUAGAUGGAUCCGCGUCGCAUUAGCUAGUUGGUAAGGUAACGGCUUACCAAGGCAACGAUGCGUAGCCGACCUGAGAGGGUGAUCGGCCACACUGGAACUGAGACACGGUCCAGACUCCUACGGGAGGCAGCAGUAGGGAAUCUUCCGCAAUGGGCGAAAGCCUGACGGAGCAACGCCGCGUGAGUGAAGAAGGUCUUCGGAUCGUAAAACUCUGUUAUUAGGGAAGAACAAAUGUGUAAGUAACUAUGCACGUCUUGACGGUACCUAAUCAGAAAGCCACGGCUAACUACGUG